rnacentral:sRNA from 1 species
UCACAGCUACAACCGCACGGACUGAGUAUUAAGUCUUCUGUUGAAGCGCUUAUGUUCGGCGAGUCUAAGCAUAUUA